GUCAGGAUGGCCGAGCGGUCUAAGGCGCUGCGUUCAGGUCGCAGUCCACUCUGGUGGGCGUGGGUUCGAAUCCCACUUCUGACA
rnacentral:tRNA from 1 species